rnacentral:lncRNA from 1 species
AAAAAAAAAAAUAAGGGUGGCAGCUGUUGUAACUUAUGCUUGUGCUAAGUUCAAAUAAGAGCCCGUAGUUAAAGUCAUCCAUUAACUUUCAGAAAUUGAGUUCAUGUCGUUGGAACAUCCAUGCAUCAAACUUAAUCUUAGCAAUACUUGGUUGGCUGGUGACUUAUUCAAGCCAUAAAGGUCAGACGGAAUUUAAUCAAGGGACUCAGAGAUCUACCAAACUUUCCUUUGUAUUUAAUACAACCCCACUC